rnacentral:rRNA from 1 species
GACGAACGCUGGCGGCGUGCUUAACACAUGCAAGUCGAACGGAAAGGCCCUGCUUUUGUGGGGUGCUCGAGUGGCGAACGGGUGAGUAACACGUGAGUAACCUGCCCUUGACUUUGGGAUAACUUCAGGAAACUGGGGCUAAUACCGGAUAGGAGCUCCUGCUGCAUGGUGGGGGUUGGAAAGUUUCGGCGGUUGGGGAUGGACUCGCGGCUUAUCAGCUUGUUGGUGGGGUAGUGGCUUACCAAGGCUUUGACGGGUAGCCGGGCUGAGAGGGUGACCGGCCAAAUUGGGACGGAGAUACGGCCCAGACUCCUACGGGAGGCAGCAGUGGGGAAUAGUGCACAAGGGGCGGAAGCCUGAUGCAGCACCGCCGCGUGCGGGAUGACGGCCUUCGGGUUGUAAACCGCUUUCGCCUGUGACGAAGCGUGAGUGACGGUAAUGGGUAAAGAAGCACCGGCUAACUACGUG